GAUGUACUUCCUCCGUCCGGAAAUACUUGUCGAAAAGAUAGAUAAAAUGGUCGUAUUUAGAAUUAAAAUAUGUCUAGAUACAUCCAUUUCUUCGACAAGUAUUUUCGGAUGGAGGGAGUAUGUA
rfam:Triticum aestivum genome assembly, contig: Triticum_aestivum_CS42_TGACv1_scaffold_001027_1AL